rnacentral:piRNA from 1 species
UGAUCGUGAUGCUGUAAGGGUAUAUAUCCU